CGCAAAUUUCAGACCCUGAUGUUAUAAAUGAUAUAACUGGGUAUAUCUAAUUAAAACAAUCUGUCAUGUACACUCAUGCAAAUAAGACUAAGUACAUAAAUAACAACCUCGUACCCAGGGGAGAAAAGACCCUGGUAGAUGCUGGUCACAUGAUCUGCUAAAAUCUAGCAGAUUUUUAAUUAGUAAUCCAAGAGGGGUUACCAAUAAAUAUUUGAUAUUUGGAUGAUUUUUAUAUGUUAAUUUAUAAUUUGCAUUUUGUAUAUGAUUGUCAUAAAGGAAUUCAAGAUAGUUAAUUAGAAAUCUGCUAGAUUUUAGCAGAUCACGUGACCAGCAUCUACCGGGGUCUUUUCUCCCCAAGAGGAAGGACUCUGGGUACGAGGUCGCAUAAAUAACUGUAAAAAUGUACUUUAGUAAAUGAAUAAUUUAUCCAUACACUUGAUCUACUUUGUGAGUAUUUUUUCCAAUUAAAAUUGAUGCAACAAUAAAACAAGAAGAUGUCUAUUUAUAUAUUUAUUAAAUUGAUCUGAGAUCCCAACAAUAACAUGCUACUUAGGGAGUGGUCAUUAUUUA